rnacentral:rRNA from 1 species
UACGUAGGGUGCGAGCGUUAAUCGGAAUUACUGGGCGUAAAGCGUGCGCAGGCGGUCCGUUGUGUCUGCGGUGAAAUCCCCGGGCUUAACCUGGGAAUGGCCGUGGAAACUGGCGGGCUUGAGUGUGGCAGAGGGGGGUGGAAUUCCGCGUGUAGCAGUGAAAUGCGUAGAGAUCCGGAGGAACACCAGCGGCGAAGGCGGCAUCCUGGACCAUUACUGACGCUGAGGCGCGAAAGCUAGGGGAGCAAACGGG